GAUGAACGCUAGCGACAGGCCUAACACAUGCAAGUCGAGGGGCAGCAUAAAAGUAGCUUGCUAUUUUUGAUGGCGACCGGCGCACGGGUGAGUAACGCGUAUGCAACCUACCCAUAAGAGGGGGAUAACCCGGAGAAAUUCGGAUUAACACCGCAUAAUAUCAUUUGAUGGCAUCAUUGGAUGAUUAAAUAUUUAUAGCUUAUGGAUGGGCAUGCGUCUGAUUAGUUUGUUGGUAAGGUAACGGCUUACCAAGACUACGAUCAGUAGGGGUUCUGAGAGGAAGGUCCCCCACACUGGUACUGAGACACGGACCAGACUCCUACGGGAGGCAGCAGUGAGGAAUAUUGGUCAAUGGGCGAGAGCCUGAACCAGCCAAGUCGCGUGCAGGAAGACGGCCCUAUGGGUUGUAAACUGCUUUUGUAUGAGGGUAAAGGGCGGUACGUGUACUGCUUUGCAAGUAUCAUACGAAUAAGGAUCGGCUAACUCCGUGCCAGCAGCCGCAGUAAGAC
rnacentral:rRNA from 1 species